UUUAUUGAUAUUGAAGCUUGUAAACAAAACCAAUAAACGUAGGACUUAUUCACGACAAUGUAUGGGAACCAGUCUAAAAAGGAAACGAAAAUUCCGCCAAGUAAACAACAAAGAAAGGGAUUUGGGAUGUUGUCAGUUGUAUGUAUACAUUAUGUGCGACGGUGACUGCAAGAAACAAGGAAUAUGGAGCUAAUGCAUGCUGCUAAGGAUGGAAAGGUCUUGUGUGUAUUGGUUGUGCCUGAGUCACCAGUCACAGUUGUACCUUAUUUCCAUUUUAGGGAGUCUAUAUACAUUUGAGGUGAGCGGCAGAUUUAAUUUUGAAGAUGGGUGACUUUCAGAUGUUGUGAUGAAGAUUGUUGAAAGGGAUUAUCAGAAUAGAACCAAUCCAUAUGAAUGUGCAAGUCAGAAACAAGGAAUGUGGAGGUAAUGCAUGCUGCUAAGGAUGGAAAGGUCUUGUGUUUAUUGGUUGUGCCUGAGACACCAGUCACAGUUGUACCUUAUUUCCAUUUUAGGGAGUCUAUAUACAUUUGAGGUGAGCGACAGAUUUAAUUUUGAAGAUGGGUGACUUUCAGAUGUUGUGAUGAAGAUUGUUGAAAGGGAUCAUCAGCAUAGAACCAAUCCAUAUGAAUGUGCAAGUCAGGACUUGUACAACACCUGAGUACCUAGAUGACUGUUGAACUAAUCGGUGAACAAGAGAAGAUGUCAGAGAGGGGAAUCCAAUGCAGAUGUCAUGAUCAAGAAUAUAUAUGCUUAUCAAUGAUAUGAUCAAGAAUAUGUAAACUUGUAACAAUUUAAAAUAUCUUUUCUGUAAAUCACUCUUCAUUACUUAAUUGUUCACACAUUAUCAUCUACACUUAUGCUAUAAAUCUUAUCUGUAUAUUAAUCGCCCCCUCUUAUCUAACCCCCUGAUGAUCGUAAUGACUUGUGUAUUGACUCCUGAUCUUAAGGAUCUUGUAAUGUGCUCCUGAUCGUCAGGAACGGAUCUUGAGUAUAUAUAUAGCGCGACAGAAUUUUAAAAUAAGAUAGGAAGAUGGAAAUAUAGAAGACUUAGUAGAUAGAACUGUUAGAGAUAGAUAAAGUUACUCACUUACUUGGACUAUUACGUAAUAUUUCUUGGAUUUAUAUGUACAUGUGAUUGUUUUACUUGGAUUUUAUUUUUUGUGAAUUAUUUUUCCUGAAUGUUUCUAUUUGUGAUGUGCUGUGUAAUUAAACUGUAGACUAGAAUUUCGGCAUCUAUUUUCAAGAUAUGAGGAACAAGGAUAAAUUAAUUUAUUCAUGCAAACUGACAUUAUGAAAUGUGUUGUAAGACUGCUCGGUGCGGCGCUACAAACUAACUAGGAAAUAUCUUGGAGAUUUAUAGAUGAACAUGCAAGCAUUCAUGAUUUUGAAUGUUAUUCAACCAGAGAGUUUUUGCAUAAAUUUAAUUUUCAGUACAGUAAUCUAAACUGGAUGUGUAAUUUUCAGUACUGUUAUGUAAAAUGAAUAUGUUACUUAUUAUGAUUGUCAAUUUCUCAACAGGACACAAUUGUAGUUUAUUUAUACGAUCACUCUUGCAGAACAAAACACACAGAACUUUUUUUUCUCUGUGUGCAUCAUACACUUGUAAACGUUUUACACCACCAUGUUUACAUAUUUUACAUUGAUGACAUGUAAAUCGAGCACACACAUGAAAAUGCGUAUAUCUGGAUACAUGCAAACAUGCAUCUACCAUAACCUAUUACAUAUUUUCCAAGGUGUGUGAAGUCGAGCACAUACAUGAAAAUGUGUGAAGCUGGACACAUACACAAAUACACAUGCAUCUGCCACAACCUAUUACAUAUUUUCCAAGGUGUGUGAAGUCGAGCACAUACAUGAAAAUGUGUGAAGCUGGACACAUACACAAAUACACAUGCAUCUGCCACAACCUAUUACAUAUUUUCCAAGGUGUGUGAAGUCGAGCACAUGCAUGAAAAUGUGUGAAGCUGGACACAUAUGCAAACACACUAACAUAUACCACAGACAUAAAAACAUAAUCUAAACUAAGUCAAGCACAGACAGGCUCACUGGGUGAAGCUGGACUCAUACAUGAUCUCAUGCAUUUUGCAAACUGCAUCCUCACGUAUAUUCUAAUAGAUUUUUCACCAUUUUUUGUGUUUGUGAAUAUGUAAAAUGCAUCAUUUUGCAUUACAAGUUGAAGAUGUUAUUAGCCUGUAUAUAAGCGCAAAUCAAAUAGCCUUUUAUGUAA